rnacentral:rRNA from 1 species
UACGUAGGGUGCGAGCGUUAAUCGGAAUUACUGGGCGUAAAGCGUGCGCAGGCGGUUUUGUAAGCCAGAUGUGAAAUCCCCGGGCUUAACCUGGGAAUGGCAUUUGGGACUGCAAGGCUGGAGUGUGGCAGAGGAGACUGGAAUUCCUGGUGUAGCAGUGAAAUGCGUAGAUAUCUGAAGGAACAUCAGUGGCGAAAGCGACUUCCUGGACCAAUACUGACGCUCAUGUGCGAAAGCGUGGGGAGCAAACAGG